rnacentral:rRNA from 1 species
UAAGUUGCUGGGGCUGAACAUGCCCAAUCUUGUCUGACCUCAGAAGCUAAGGAGGGUUGGGCCUGGCUAGUACCUGGAUAGGGGACUAAGUUGUGGAGGCUGGCCAUGAACUUGU